UACAGAGGGGGCAAGCGUUGUUCGGAAUUACUGGGCGUAAAGGGCGCGUAGGCGGCCCGCUAAGUCGAACGUGAAAUCCCCGAGCUCAACUCGGGAACUGCGUCCGAUACUGGUGGGCUUGAAUCCGGGAGAGGGAUGCGGAAUUCCAGGUGUAGCGGUGAAAUGCGUAGAUAUCGGGAGGAACACCAGUGGCGAAGGCGACUUCCUGGCCUGUUCUUGACGCUGAGGCGCGAAAGCUAGGGGAGCAAACGGGG
rnacentral:rRNA from 1 species